UUGCGAAUAUGAAGCGUUUUCUUGUGGUUAACGAUGCUGGUUUCGUUUUACAGGGAAAGUUGAGGAAUUGACAAUGGCGUUAUCGGACCUCGUUUGGGAAGAUAUGGUGGCUGGUACGGAGACACACAGGAUCAAGAUUCAACAACAAGAGUUUGGUUCUUUCAGUAGUUACUGCUAGCUUCAUUCUAAACAAGAAGCCAAUAAAGAACGGCCUCCAAAGCCAAAGCUCAGAAGCAAGGAUUUGAUUAAAAGGGGCUUCCAUUCUUGUAUGAUUAUUGUUUAUGGGGGAAUUCAUAUUUGUUGUUUGGCCAUAAAAAUUAAAAGCACAUGCUUUUGUUCAUCAAAACUGAUUUUUGGUUUCUGUUUA